CAGGAUACAACAGCCUAAUCACAAAAUAUAACUCAACAACUCUGGACAAGAGUUGAGUCCAAAGCUCCACAAAAAGAACACCUCCCUUCAACUAAUAAGAACUCUCUUUUUGACAAACUUUAUGCACUCUAUAUUUUUCUCUUGUAUGUUGUGUCCUUUAAACCAAAUGAAGACACUACUAUUUAUACUAGAAGAAGUCUUCCUAGCAAUGAAUAGGAAGAUAAUGGUGUAGUAAAUAGUGAAGAUAAAUGGCA
rnacentral:lncRNA from 1 species